AUUUUAAAGGUGCGUUCAAUACAGUGUUCAUCCAGAGUCCUACAUAUGAAGGCUCAAGCAUAUUUACAUACAUAGAGAUAUAUACAGUCUUUAUAUAGAAAACAAAACUAACAAAAAUAAUCAUCUUUUUAUAGCAGCAAAAAAGAAGAAACUAAAAGAGGAGUAAGUAUAUUUACAUCUUCUUUUUCAAAAUAACAAGGCAUAUAUAUUAUAGUACACUGCGCAUACGUGCUUUCCCAUUCUUUAAGUAAUCUUGAUUCGACCUCUCAAGUUCGAAGAAUAAUAUAGGCAACUUUCUCAUCUCAUUGAAGGCAAAACUAAACCAGGCUGAGGUGGAUUUAUUUAACAUUACAUUGCCCCUGCGUUGCCAUUAGUGACAACAAACUCAACAUUCAGAGAUCAUUUGAGCUGGCACUAGGAGCACCUGUUUCGGAUGCCUGUUGGAGCCAAAAUGGCCUCCACGGGAAAAGUGCAAACUCUUGUGGUUUUAUGGCCCUGCCUUGAACGAAAAAUCACAAAUUAGAGUGUAAAGAUUAAUACAAAUAUCUUUUCUGUAUUGCAGCCAUCAAGAAAAAAAGUGUAAACCGGUUUUGAUUUUAAACAACAAACACUGAGAUGACAGUUAAACACACCUUUUAGUAACAACCUCCAGAACAGCAAAUUGGAUCAGGUUUCAUUAUUCAUUUGGAAAGUGUCUCUUAUACAGACAAGAAAGCUCAAAAAAUAAAUAUCCACAGUUCUUCCUUUUGCAAGACAAUGCUAUUGUAACUUUUUAACAUGUGCAAACUUGGUGCAACCCUCCUGGUUUUUUCAAUCACUUCACAUUCAUUCAUAAAGAUGGAAUCAAGAACCAAGAACUCAACUUCCCAGCAUGCCAAGCGAGAGGCCAAUGCUGUCAGGACAUUCCCCAGUCUAUGUAUAAAGUCUAUUUUGUAUUUUUACGUAGAAAAAUGCUUGGGACGAGACGUGUACAACUGCAUGGGAACACUUCAAGUAUGGCGGUUGUUGCCUUAGAAACAGGGAGUGUCUUUCUAACAACUGAGGUGAGCUGUGCAAAAACAUCAGAAGUCACAUGCGAUUUUAAGAGUGUACUGAGACUACUUUAAGUCA
ensembl:lncRNA